UGUGACAUCACUGGGCUAAGCAACAAGGUAAUCUUGCUUAUGUGUCUUCUGUCUAGGCCAUGUGCACAGGGGGCAUUGAGAAAUAUCUCUGGACCAAUCACCUAAAAGAUGUGACUCUCCUCACUUGCCUGGAAUCUGCUCAGAAUAGAGAUUUCGACACAUCAGUGGGUUCAACACCUAGGUGAUGCGGCUCUUCCUUCUUUUCUGGGCUCUUCCAUCAGAGAAGAUUGUGACAUUUUCUGAGCCCAGCACUCAAGUGAGGUGACUUGUCUCCCUGGACUCUCCCCACAGACAGCAUUGUGAAAUAUCUUUGGGAUCAUCACCUAGGUUACUGGGAUCUCAAUGUAGAUGUUAUGUCCAGACAGAGGCUGCUGUGAGCUGAAUCGUCUGCUUCCCAAAAUUCCUAUGUUGACACCUUAACCCCCAGCACCUAAGAAUGUGACUAUAUUUGGAGAUAGCAUCAUCACAGAGUCUCAGGGAUGUCUUUAUCAGCAGUAUGAAAAUGAACCAAUUCAUCCCACUUCACUGUUUGAAGAAAAACUGCUGGCUCUAUGGGGUCUUCAAUUUACUGAAUGAUUCCUAGAUGCCUGGCCCUAAUUCACUCGAGGGUCAAGAAAGGUGCCACCUUAUGGUGCUCACUGGGCGGUUGUGGAUGUCUAACCUCAGUGCUAGUCACACAGAACCUGAAGCCAGGCUGGCUGCUCCUGUAAAUGGCAUGGAAUCCCAGGGAAUAUCCUGCAUUCUCAGUGUCCAGCUGUCUGAUGCCACAGUUGUUUAUGAUGAUUGAGGACAACUACGUUUUUCUGAGGAGACUUACCACCUCAUGGCUGAGGCAUUCACAAAAAAUAGCUCACGUUAUGUUUUGCUUACUUGCAAGUCAACAAGAUGAGGUCCCUGAGGAUGUCUAACUGAUUCUGUCCACUCGGGAAUGUUUCGGACUUGAUAUUGGAUUUCUUACAAGUUGAAGGCUUUUUGCAACCCUAUACUGAGUGACUCUGUUAACACUAUUUUUCCAACAUCAUGUGACCUUUGUGUGUGUUUACAUCUGUGUCAGCUUUUUUUUGCAAUAAAGUAUAUUUUUAUUAAGGUAACACAACUGACCAGAAGAAAAACAGCCUAGAUCCUGAGCAUUCAGCCCGUGUCUUCACACAGCAAACACCACCUGAGUCCCAUCAAAGCCUGUGUUGUUUCCCAACAUCCACCAUUGAGACAUAUUCCAGAGCAGCCUCUCAAAAUCACCUAAACAAGAUGGAACAAGGUAUGAUGGAGCUUCCAGGCUCAGGACAGCUGCCUCAUUCCUUCCUACUGAGAAAUCUGUACCUGCUGGUUAGAGCUAUCAAACUGUAGAAGACUUAGUUCAUGUCCCAGUAAGUGUCCCCUAAAAUGACCUUCUUGUUUUUCCCUCUUCUGAGAAAAGCAUGCAGGAAUAAGAACUUCUAUGUUAGAGAGUACUUGCUCUUCCGCUCUCAGAUGGCUUGGUUGACUGAUGAACUGAUGCCCUGAGGAGGGGAAAGAUCCAGGGAAGAGCCUGUGCUGGGUGACUCUGUGUUUUCCCAGCUGUGCUGUUUGUGUGCAAAUAGUGGAACCCCCAAGAAAUCAGGUGAUAGACAGACAGACA